AUUGAACGCUGGCGGCAGGCCUAAACACAUGCAAGUCGAACGGUAGCACAGAGAGCUUGCUCUCGGGUGACGAGUGGCGGACGGGUGAGUAAUGUCUGGGAAACUGCCUGAUGGAGGGGGAUAACUACUGGAAACGGUAGCUAAUACCGCAUAACGUCGCAAGACCAAAGAGGGGGACCUUCGGGCCUCUUGCCAUCAGAUGUGCCCAGAUGGGAUUAGCUAGUAGGUGGGGUAACGGCUCACCUAGGCGACGAUCCCUAGCUGGUCUGAGAGGAUGACCAGCCACACUGGAACUGAGACACGGUCCAGACUCCUACGGGAGGCAGCAGUGGGGAAUAUUGCACAAUGGGCGCAAGCCUGAUGCAGCCAUGCCGCGUGUAUGAAGAAGGCCUUCGGGUUGUAAAGUACUUUCAGCGGGGAGGAAGGUGUUGUGGUUAAUAACCGCAGCAAUAGACGUACCCGCAGAAGAAGCACCGGCAUCCCG
rnacentral:rRNA from 1 species